UACAGAGGGUGCGAGCGUUAAUCGGAUUUACUGGGCGUAAAGGGUGCGUAGGUGGUAAAGCAAGUAAGAUGUGAAAGCCCUGGGCUUAACCUGGGAAGUGCAUCUUAAACUGCUUAACUAGAGUAUGGUAGAGGGUAGUGGAAUUUCCGGUGUAGCGGUGAAAUGCGUAGAGAUCGGAAGGAACGCCAGUGGUGAAGACGACUGCCUGGACCAAUACUGACACUGAGGCACGAAAGCUAGGGGAGCAAACAGG
rnacentral:rRNA from 1 species